GCCCCAAGCUUGUACUCCAAUCCAAGACUGGGGGCUUUUCCCCUGUUAAAUGCAUGGAGGGUAACAUAGCUUGUCUUGGGUUUGAUUGUUUUUUUUUUUCUUUUUAAUUUUCUCUUUACUAUAUGGCUUUUCUAUGAACUUAGAUGUAGAUACAACCACUUACUCCUCAUGUUCUAUCACAGACCAUCAUGAUAACUGUCUUCCAAUCCCCUGGGUUAUUUCAAUUUGCUGUUGCAGAAGAAGUGACUGCAGAAAAAGUGACUGGAGUGCUGCACUAGCAAUGUUACGGUGAAGAGACAUUCAUGGUUCAAUGCUCACUAGAUGCUGAAAUCUUAAAUCUCGAGCUUGGAGACCCAGUUCCUGGUACAACUCUGUUUUUUUUCUUUCUACCAAGGAGAUUUUUAAAAAAAAAUAGGAACAGCAGAGACUCCCUAUGCCUGAAGAAGGGUGACUGUGCCUGAAAGCUUGCCAAGAACUUUUUUCCAACUACUCAGUUGGUCUAAUAAAAGAUAUCACAUCUACUCAAAGAACCUUGCCUGUCCGUGUCCUUAGACCAACACAGCUACAACCAAAAACCUCUUCCUAUUUGAAGGAUAUAUUGUGUUAUACAAACAACAGCAGAAACUAACCGUGUAUACAAAGAGCAAAAUAAAAAUAUUUUUUCCUCAUA